rnacentral:lncRNA from 1 species
UUCAAUUGCUUAAAAAAAAAUUAAAUAUUCUUCCAUACAAUCCCAAUCCCCAACAUCAAUCAUGUGCCUUCAACUCCUCUGCAUCCGUGAGCUCCUUCUAAUCCUAAUCACUUCUUCAAUUAAAAAUAAAAUUGAAUUACCAAGCUGUGGCAUUGCAUUAUCUAGACUGUGUGCACAAGAAAUGAAACAACCCUCUUUUUCCAAGCCACUAACACGUCCCAUCAUCUUGCUUAAAACACUGCAGACCUACUCUCCAUUCAUCAAGAAAAAAAAAAUAAAAACAAGCCAUUUUUCAUAAAACACCGUACACACCCCUUUUCCUCAAAAGCUUUAAUCCUUUUAAAACGAGAGCUGCAGCGUACAAAAAUCUCCUCCAAAAGAUGUUUCAGCACCUAGACAACACAUUUCCCAUUCUUCAUUCAAUAAAAAAAAAACAAUGCAUGGUUGCCCAC